GCCAUAGCUGAAGGGUAGAGCCUCUGCUCUGUGUGUAGAAGGUCUCAGGUUCAAUCCCUGACACCUAGGUAGGGCU